GACCGGGCUUGCACAAAAGUUUACCUGG
rnacentral:piRNA from 1 species